rnacentral:rRNA from 1 species
GACGAACGCUGGCGGCGUGCUUAACACAUGCAAGUCGUACGGUAAGGCCCUUUCGGGGGUACCCGAGUGGCGAACGGGUGAGUAACACGUGAGUAACCUGCCCACAACUUUGGGAUAACGCUAGGAAACUGGUGCUAAUACUGGAUAUGUGCUCCUGCUGCAUGGUGGGGGUUGGAAAGCUCCGGCGGUUGUGGAUGGACUCGCGGCCUAUCAGCUUGGUGGUGGGGUAGUGGCCUACCAAGGCCGCGGAGGGUAGCCGGCCUGAGAGGGUGACCGGCCACAGUGGGACUGAGAUACGGCCCAGACUCCUACGGGGGGCAGCAGUGGGGAAUAUUGCAAAAUGGGCGCAAGCCUGAUGCAGCAACGCCGCGUGCGGGAUGACGGCCUUCGGGUUGUAAACCGCUUUCAGCAGGGACGAAGCUUUUUGUGACGGUACCUGCAGAAGAAGCACCGGCUAACUACGUG